rfam:Gossypium raimondii Chr13_contig_1325, whole genome shotgun sequence.
GAGAGGAUAAUACCCAUGGCUAUCUAAUUGGUCUAAGGGCGAACUGAAACAUCUUAAUAGUUGGAGGAAAAGAAAGCAAAAGUGAUUCAUAUAGUAACAGUGAGCGAAACGGGAGUAACUUAAAUCGUGGAAAUGGGCUUGAAGGAGAGUAAAAAAGUGUGGUACUACUAGGCAAAGUUGUGAAGUGUUAGGCCUUAGAUGGCAAUAGUCUAGUAGCCGAAAGCGACAUUAGCUUAUGCUCUGAUUCAAGUAGCAUAAGGCACAUGGAACCCCUUGUCAAUUAGCAAGGACCCCCUUGCAAACGGAAG